GUCCAGAUCCUCCUCGAAGCCUUCUCCCCCGCCGCGACUCUUAAAGAAUGUGCCCACACAGUCCACCGUUCGUGCAACGGCUGGGCCACGUCACCAGUUUGCUGGAACACCACGCGGUGAAUCAGCAGUCCCCCGUCGGUGUUCACCUCCACGGGCGAUGCACAGAUUAGCUAGUGACGGUCAAGUGACCAUGUGUCAUGUUGAUCAAGAUAUAACCGGUCUCCAUCGUAGUGAUGGUAGAGCAAACGUUCCGUAGGUGAACCUGCGGAAGGAUCAUUAUCGAGUUAGGGUCCACUGGGGCCCCAUCUCCAACCCGUGUCUACCCUACCUGUUGCUUCGGCGGGCCCGUCCUCAACUGGACCGCCGGGGACUUUGGUCCCUGGCCCGCGCCCGUCAGUAGCCCCCUUCAACCCCUUGUAAUGAUGUUGUCUGAGCCUCUGAUAAUGAGCACAAAAACUUUCAACAACGGAUCUCUUGGUUCUG
rnacentral:misc_RNA from 1 species